GUCACAGAAUCCAUUCCGGCUGAUCCAGUCCUGGGCGCUGCUCCUCCUCCUCCAGCAUGCUCCAGUCUGCGAUCCAGUCCAGUAAGGAGAGUAUGCCCUGGUGCUGCUGAAAUCUGACCGGGCAGCAACAGAGAGAUGAGUAACAAAAAAUUAAAAGACCCACUGCUGGUGCACAGAAGGAAAUGUGCUCCAGCUCCAGUAAAAGUCAGCUAAAGAAACAUUGGCUUUCCCUCCAGAUGCCCAGAGAAAGAAAUGCCAGGAAAAAGAGGAAUACUGACAUUUAGGACAUUGUUGAAGCCACUGCUCACUUGACCAGCCUGACUGAAACCUUUGACAGCUCCACAGCAGUUUGGAUAAGGUUGUCAAAGAGUAUGGCCCACAAGAACUGGGAUAAACGCAGCGAUGAGAAAAUCAGAUCAAGCUGGACUUCCACAAGAUCAGCAUAAAGAUAAGAUAAAAUGUUCCUUUCUUAAUCACCAUCAUUAUCAUCAUACGUCACUCCAGCCAGACAAGAAGGAAAGCAGUCUGAAGUAUGCUGAGUACAGCAAAGGACAAUGCACAGUCCAGAAUUACCACUGGACUAAGUUCUGCCCGCAUGAUACAGACCAGCAGCUGAACAGCAAGACCAGACCGAAUCAUGUAUGACUCUCCUAGUCCGCAUGACCAUCACCUUAGGACUACAGCGGUCUGAAACGAGAUGCAAUGAGACCCUGAAAGUUCUGAGUUUGAUUAGUCCAGAAACUACUGCUGGAGUGAGGAAGAGUUGUAUUUCACAGCAUGUCACAUCAUGGAAGACAGACAGCAUGAAGGAGCAUGCUUAACAUACAGAAGAUCAACACGAAGACAACUGUCAAAAGAAAAUGAUUGCUGCUGUAUCAAACCAUCCUGAUACGAGGAUAUGUACAGUACAGGGGAGAGGGCAAAGAUAAGGGCAAAAGUGGACAUUGGAAAAGAGAUUUUGCACAAUUUCCAAAACAGACUGACAAGAAGAAAAAAAGAGAAAACAAAUGAACUGAGCUGGAGGGGGCUGGACGGACUAACGACAGGAUCCAGCAAACACGCACUGGUUUGAGCUGCUUCAAAGGGUAGUGACAUGGGCAAAUCAAGUGAUAUGGAGCUGGAAGGAAGGGAGGAGAUGGGUUCUUACCCGGAGUUGACUGACUGAUGAGUGGCCAGUGGUGGGGCCCGAGAACCAGGACAGCAAGGGUGGUGAUAUAAACAAGCCUGUUUUUACACACAUUGCUGUGAUUCUGAGUACCGGUGAACUAGUUCCAAUAAGAUCUUUUCCAUACACCAUGGGUAGACAUUCAACAUGACCUCAUGUCUGAGGUGCUAAUUGAAUGACAGUUUACAGCUAUAGGUUUCACAAAGUAUAAUUUGAUUUGGACAAGUCAAAGAUUCUAAAAUGAUAUCUACUAAACAAGAAGCGCUUGAAUGUAUUAAACAUGUUUCUUUGUUUGUUAGUGAUUCAAAGGCCUGGUUAUGUUUUGAAUUCUCUGUUAUAGGCUGGAGUCACCAUGCCCUGCUCGCCUGCCCACUGCCACAGCUUUUUAUUAAAGGAAAAUCUGUGGUGAAGUCCAA